UGCGAGUCAUUGUAGCAAUACAAGGCAGACGGCUCAGUAACGCGUAGUCAACCUAACCUAUGGACGGGAAUAACCUCGGGAAACUGAGAAUAAUGCCCGAUAGAACACUAUACCUGGAAUGGUUUGUGUUCCAAAUGAUUUAUCGCCGUAGGAUGGGACUGCGGCCUAUCAGUUUGUUGGUGAGGUAAUGGCCCACCGAGACUAUUACAGGUACGGGCUCUGAGAGGAGUAGCCCGGAGAUGGGUACUGAGACACGGACCCAGGCCCUAUGGGGCGCAGCAGGCGAGAAAACUUUGCAAUGUGCGAAAGCACGACAAGGUUAAUCCGAGUGGUUUCUGCUAAAGGAACCUUUUGUCGGUCCUAGAAACACCGAUGAAUAAGGGGUGGGCAAGUUCUGGUGUCAGCCGCCGCGGUAAAACCUGCACCUCAAGUGGUCAGGAUGAUUAUUGGGCCUAAAGCAUCCGUAGCCGGCUCUGUAAGUUUUCGGUUAAAUCUGUACGCUCAACGUACAGGCUGCCGGGAAUACUGCAGAGCUAGGGAGUGGGAGAGGUAGACGGUACUCGGUAGGAAGGGGUAAAAUCCUUUGAUCUAUUGAUGACCACCUGUGGCGAAGGCGGUCUACCAGAACACGUCCGACGGUGAGGGAUGAAAGCUGGGGGAGCAAACCGGAUUAGAUACCCGGGUAGUCCCAGCUGUAAACUAUGCAAACUCAGUGAUGCAUUGACUUGUGGUCAAUGCAGUGCUGCAGGGAAGCCGUUAAGUUUGCCGCCUGGGAAGUACGUACGCAAGUAUGAAACUUAAAGGAAUUGGCGGGGGAGCACCACAAGGGGUGAAGCCUGCGGUUC
rnacentral:rRNA from 1 species